CGUGCGCUGUUACGAUGUUUAAUCUCGGUACCAGGGUCUUUGAGGUUUUCGCCAACGAACUCUGGUAGAUGUAGGAAUCGUUUUUGAAGACGACUCGCCGAAAAAGCUUUGAGUGCAUGGAGCAAAUUUUCAACGAGACGAAAGAAGGAUGAAAUGAAGCACCUAUAGGAACUGAAGAAUAAUAUGAAGAACUGAAUCAAACGAAUGUGAAGAAUUUAAUACGUCCUUCGAAGUCGUUCUUGAAGUUGGGGAAAUUUUGGUGUUAUGGCGGCCCCCGGAUAGAAAACAGCAACCAAUGAAAAGGGCUCAAGUUUGACUGACAGGUCGAGCUUCUCUUUAGGCUCCUCUUAACGGCAGGACUCCGAUAUAACACACGGCACUGGAUAUGCCAUCCCCAGAUGGCGCUUGUAAACGCUUUCUUUUGCGGGCGGGUAGAUAUUCCAGGAGGAGGAUGAUAAGAUAAGGGGGUGUAUUUUAGACAUUGAGAGCUCUGCUGUGAUUAACGUAUUAUAGUAUCUAUUUUGAAUACUAUUCAGCAAUAUAGAUUGUAUUGAUUAUUUUUAAUAAUCUUAUUAUUAUUCGUGUAUUGUGCGUAGUAUUAAAGAAUGGUAGUGUUA